AACGAACGCUGGCGGCAGGCUUAACACAUGCAAGUCGAACGGGUGCAGCAAUGCAUCAGUGGCAGACGGGUGAGUAACACGUGGGAACCUUCCUAGGGGUACGGAACAACUCAGGGAAACUUGAGCUAAUACCGUAUACGUCCGUGAGGAGAAAGAUUUAUCGCCCUUAGACGGGCCCGCGUCGGAUUAGCUAGUUGGUGGGGUAACGGCCUACCAAGGCGACGAUCCGUAGCUGAUCUUAGAGGAUGAUCAGCCACACCGGGACUGAGACACGGCCCAGACUCCUACGGGAGGCAGCAGUGGGGAAUCUUGGACAAUGGGCGCAAGCCUGAUCCAGCCAUGCCGCGUGAGUGAAGAAGGUCUUCGGAUUGUAAAGCUCUUUUGCCAGGGACGAUAAUGACGGUACCUGGAGAAUAAGCCCCGGCAAACUUCGUGCCAGCCGCCGCCGUAA
rnacentral:rRNA from 1 species